GACGAACGCUGGCGGCGUGGAUUAGGCAUGCAAGUCGAACGGUAGGAUACCUUCGGGUAUCUGAAAGUGGCGAACGGGUGAGUAACACGUAGGUGAUCUACCCUCAAGAUUGGGACAACCCAGGGAAACUUGGGCUAAUACCGGAUGAAAGCAGCAGUGAUGUUGUUUGAAAGGUGGCGUAAGCUGCCGUUUGGGGAUGAGCCUGCGCUCUAUUAGUUAGUUGGCGGGGUAAAGGCCCACCAAGGCGAUGAUAGAUAGGCGGCCUUAACGGGUGGUCGCCCACACUGGGAUUGAGAUACGGCCCAGACUCCUACGGGAGGCAGCAGUCGAGAAUAGUCUACAAUGGCCGAAAGGCUGAUAGUGCGACGCCGCGUGAACGAAGAAGCCCUUCGGGGUGUAAAGUUCUUUUAUAUGUGAGCAGUGCUUUCUAUGUGAACAGCAUGGGGAGAGAGAUAUUAGCAUAUGAAUAAGCAACGGCUAACUCCGUGCCAGC
rnacentral:rRNA from 1 species